rnacentral:rRNA from 1 species
AUAAUACUCCAUAGUCCAUGGAAUCUGGAAUGAUCCAUGGAUGAAAGUUCCGGCGCUUAAGGAUCGGUCUGCGGCCUAUCAGGUUGUAGUGGGUGUAACGUACCUACUAGCCGAUGACGGGUAUGGGCCUUGAGAGAGGGAGCCCAGAGUUGGAUUCUGAGACACGAAUCCAGGCCCUACGGGGCGCAGCAGUCGCGAAAACUUCACAAUGGGGGCAACCCCGAUGAGGGAAUUCCUAAUGCUAGCACAUUUGUGUUAGCUUUUCUCUAGCGUAGAUAACUAGAGGAAUAAGGGCUGGGAAAGACGGGUGCCAGCCGCCGCGGUAAUACCUGCAGCCCAAGUGGUGGUCGAGUUUAUUGAGUCUAAAACGUUCGUAGCCGGUUCGAUAAAUCUUUGGGUAAAUCGGAAGGCUUAACCUUCCGACUUCCGAGGAGACUGCCGAACUUGGGACCGGGAGAGGCUAGAGGUACUUCUGGGGUAGGGGUAAAAUCCUGUAAUCCUAGAAGGACCACCGGUGGCGAAGGCGUCUAGCUAAAACGGAUCCGACGGUGAGGGACGAAGCCCUGGGUCGCAAACGGGAUUAAAUACCCCGGUAGUCCAGGGUGGUAACGCUGCCGACUUGGUGU